rnacentral:rRNA from 1 species
GAUGAACGCUGGCGGCGUGCCUAAUACAUGCAAGUCGAGCGAACGGACGAGAAGCUUGCUUUUCUGAUGUUAGCGGCGGACGGGUGAGUAACACGUGGAUAACCUACCUAUAAGACUGGGAUAACUUCGGGAAACCGGAGCUAAUACCGGAUAAUAUUUUGAACCGCAUGGUUCAAAAGUGAAAGACGGUCUUGCUGUCACUUAUAGAUGGAUCCGCGCUGCAUUAGCUAGUUGGUAAGGUAACGGCUUACCAAGGCAACGAUGCAUAGCCGACCUGAGAGGGUGAUCGGCCACACCGGAACUGAGACACGGUCCCGACUCCUACGGGGGGCAGCAGUAGGGAAUCUUCCGCAAUGGGCGAAAGCCUGGCGGAGCAACGCCGCGUGAGUUAUGAAGGUCUUCGGAUCGUAAAACUCUGUUAUUAGGGAAGAACAUAUGUGUAAGUAACUGUGCACAUCUUGACGGUACCUAAUCAGAAAGCCACGGCUAACUACGUG